UACGGAGGGGGCCAGCGUUGUUCGGAAUCAUUGGGCGUAAAGGGCGCGUAGGCGGCCGACCAAGUCGGAGGUGAAAUCCCUCGGCUCAACUGAGGAACAGCCGGGGCUACGGCCGCGCUUGACGGCAUCAGGGGACAGUGGAACUUCCGGUGGAGCGGUGAAAUGCGUAGAUAUCGGAAGGAACGCCGGUGGCGAAAGCGACUGUCUGGGGUGCCUGUGACGCUGAGGCGCGAAAGCCAGGGGAUCAAACGGG
rnacentral:rRNA from 1 species